rnacentral:rRNA from 1 species
CCUACGGGAGACAGCAGUGAGGAAUAUUGGUCAAUGGGCGGAAGCCUGAACCAGCCAAGUCGCGUGAGGGAUUAAGGCCCUGCGGGUCGUAAACCUCUUUUGCCGGGGAGCAGUGGUCCGGACGUGUCCGGGCCGGGAGAGUACCCGGAGAAAAAGCAUCGGCUAACUCCGUGCCAGCAGCCGCGGUAAUACGGAGGAUGCGAGCGUUAUCCGGAUUUAUUGGGUUAAAGGGGUGCGUAGGCGGGCAUUUAAGCCGGCGGUCAAAUGUCGGGGCUCAACCCCGGCCUGCCGUCGGAACUGGGUGCCUUGAGUGGGCGAGAAGUAUGCGGAAUGCGUGGUGUAGCGGUGAAAUGCAUAGAUAUCACGCAGAACCCCGAUUGCGAAGGCAGCAUACCGGCGCCCUACUGACGCUGAGGCACGAAAGUGCGGGUAUCGAACAGGAUUAGAUACCCCAGUAGUC